ACACGACUACAUUAGAUACCCGCGUAGUCCCAGCCGUAAACUAUGCUCGCUAGGUGUCAGGGACGGUGCGACCGUUUCUGGUGCCGCAGGGAAGCCGUGAAGCGAGCCACCUGGGAAGUACGGUCGCAAGGCUGAAACUUAAAGGAAUUGGCGGGGGAGCACCGCAACGGGAGGAGCGUGCGGUUCAAUUGGAUUCAACGCCGGACAACUCACCAGGAGCGACGGUUACAUGAAGGCCAGGCUGAUGACCUUGCCUGAUUUCCG
rnacentral:rRNA from 1 species